rnacentral:lncRNA from 1 species
UCUCACAAACAAUCUCCUCCAUGCCAAACUUGGGUAUCUGCUUGCUUCUCCAUGCCAAACUCUCUCAAUAGGGCAUCCAAGAUAGAUCUCAUCUCAUCAGGAGGCACCCACAUGCUUAUCCCUAUUUAAAGUUCAAACUUAGGGUUGUUAGGGAGUUUUUAGAGAUAAAGUAAGACUUUAUCCUUGUAGCCACCCAACACCCUUGCUCCCCUAAAAUUCUCCAUGCCCACUCUCAACAUGAAAACACUUUCCACGUGAAGGCCUUGGGCAUGGAUACAUGUAUGGGGCAUGGGCUCUUAAGUUUGAUCUCCUCCUUGUUUGAUUUGGUCAAGGUGAAAUCUAAUUUAGAUUUGGAUUUCAUCAUAAAUCAAGUCCAAUCCCAUUAAUAAUGAAAUUCAAUCCAAAUCAAAUUAAAAUCUUAUCUAAUCAAAUUAAAUCUAAUUUAAUUUGACUAAGACCUUAUCCCAAUCAAACAUGGCUAAAGAUUAGGUCAAACCUAAUCUAGAUAAGUUUGGAUCAAGUAUCCAUUAAAUCUAAUUUCAUUAGAUUAAUAAAAUCUAGUUUGAGUCAAAUUCAAAUCAAAUAUAAUCAAAUUAAAUCUGAUUUAAUU